rnacentral:sRNA from 1 species
UCUGACUGCAACAUCUGUCACCUCAGUGAUUGCCCGGAUUGAUUCGGCUGAUCUGGCUGGCUAGGCGGGUGUCU